UAUGGCUCAGAUUGAACGCUGGCGGGAUGCUUUACGGUUGAUGCAAGUCGAACGGCAGCAACGGACUUCGGUCUGGUGGCGAGUGGCGAACGGGUGAGAAUGUAUCGGAACGUGCUCUGUAGUGGGGAUAACUACGCGAAAGCAGCCAAUACCGCAUACGCCCUUCGGGGGAAAGCGGGGGACCUUCGGGCCUCGUAAUUAGAGCGGCUGAUAUCGGAUUAGCUAGUUGGUGGUAACGGCUCACCAAGGCGACGAUCCGUAGCUGGUUUGAGAGACGACCAGCCACACCGGGACUGAGGCACGGCCCAGACUACGGGAGGCAGCAGUGGGAAUUUUGGACAAUGGGGGAAACCCCUGAUCCAGCCAUCUCCGCGUGUGCGAUGAAGGCCUUCGGGUUGUGAAGCACUUUUGGCAGGAAAGAAACGGCACGGGAUAAUACCCCGUGCAACUGACGGUACCCGCAGAAUAAGCACCGGCUAACUACGCAGCCAGCAGCCGUAAUACGUAGGGUGCAAGCGUUAAUCGGAAUUACUGGGCGUAAAGCGUGCGCAGGCGGUUCGGAAAGAAAGAUGUGAAAUCCCAGAGCUUAACUUUGGAACUGCAUUUAACUACCGAGCUAGAGUGUGUCAGAGGGAGGUGGAAUUCCGCGUAGCAGUGAAAUGCGUAGAUAUGCGGAGGAAAUUCGCCUCCUCCGAUGGCGAAGGCAGCCUCUGGGAUAACACUGACGCCGCACGAAAGCGUGGAGCAAACAGGAUUAGAUACUCCCGGUAGUCCACGCCUCAAACGAUGUCAACUUACGGUUAAAGCCUUCUGGCCUUGGUAGCAGCUAACGGGCAAGAAGUUGACCGCCUGGGGAGUACGGUCGCAAGAUUAAAAACUCAAAGGAAUUGACGGGACCCGCACAAGCGGUGGAUGAUGUGGAUUAAUUCGAUGCAACGCGAAAAACCUUACCUACCCUUGACAUGUCUGGAAUCCCGAAGAGAUUUUGGGGAGAGUGCUCGCAAGAGGAACCGGAACAAGGUGGUGCCGUACGGCUGUCGUCAGCUCGUGUCGUGAUGUUGGGUUGUCCUGCAACGAGCGCAACCCUGGUCAUUAGUUGCUGAAAGGGCAACGACGAGACUGCCGGUGACAAACCGAGGAAGGUGAUGACGUCAAGUCCUCAUGGCCCUUAUGGGUAGGGCUUUACCGUCAUACAAUGGUCGGGACAGGGUCGCCAACGCGAGGGGAGUCAAUCCCAGAAACCCGAUCGUAGUCCGGAUCGCAGUCUGCAACUCGACUGCGUGAAGCCGGAAUCGCUAGUAAUCGCGACCAGCAUGUCGCGGUGAAUACGUUCCCGGCCUGGUAUUGACCGCCCGUCACACCAUGGGAGUGGGUUUUACACCAGAAGUAGUUAGCCUAACCGUAAGGAGGGCGAUUACCACGGUAGGAUUCAUGACUGGGGUGGUGUCGUAACAAGGUAA
rnacentral:rRNA from 1 species